CGCAUCUGUGCAUGCAGCAUAUCAAUAAGCGGAGGAAAAGAAACUAACAAGGAUUUCCCUAGUAACGGCGAGUGAAGCGGGAAGAGCUCAAAUUUGAAAUCUUAAAGGGUUUCCCUUACGAAUUGUAGUUUAAAGAAGUGUUUUCUGUUGAGGUUUUGGUAAAAGUUCUUUGGAAUAGGACAUCAUAGAGGGUGAGAAUCCCGUAUUUGACCUUUACUUUCAACUUUGUGAUACACUUUCAAAGAGUCGGAUUGUUUGGGAAUGCAGUCCAAAAUGGGUGGUAAAUUUCAUCUAAAGCUAGAUAUUGGCGAGAGACCGAUAGCGAACAAGUACCGUGAGGGAAAGAUGAAAAGAACUUUGAAAAGAGAGUUAAACAGUACGUGAAAUUGUCAAAAGGGAAGCGUUUGACACCAGUGUUGUUUUUCUGAAAAUCAAUUAAAGAACUGUUUAUGCUAAGCUGUUUAGACUUUAUCAGCUAUCUGUUUAGUUUUGAGCUUUUCUUUAAUGCACUUUUCAGUUAACAAGUCAACAUCAAUUUCUUUUGCUGUAAAAAAGCUUGAGGAAGGUGGCUUGAGAUUCGUCUUAAGUGUUUAUAGCCUCUUGCCUAUGCAGUCGGAGAGAUUGAGGUCUGCAGCGUAGAUCCUUCGGGGCUAAAUGCAUUUGUGCUAAGUUAUAGCAUUUUAUAGACAACUUGUUGACUAUGAUUUGUCUUGUAGCUUACUCGCUUAUGUUAUUUUACCUACGCUUAGGAUGUUGACAGCAGUAUAGACUGU
rnacentral:rRNA from 1 species